GUUUACGGCCAUACCAGCCUGGGUACGCCCGAUCUCGUCUGAUCUCGGAAGCUAAGCAGGGUAGGGCCUGGUUAGUACUUGGAUGGGAGACCGCCUGGGAAUACCAGGUGCUGUAAGCU
rnacentral:rRNA from 1 species